UAUUAGCUGAUUAAUGUCAGUGUGAAAUGUGUUUGAUUUAGCAGAUGAAGCCUGUACGAUGUUUUCUAAACAUUUUUUAUAUUUUUGAUUAAUGCCCCAAACACUAGACUUUAUGAUUUAUGAUUUAUGUUUUAAUUAAUCAUAAAAAAAGGUUAAUGAGGGCUGAUAGUGAAUAGUGAUAGUGAAUUAUGGAAGUUGUAGUGAGGGCUGAUAGUGGGUGCAGGUGAAUUCUGGGAGUUGUAGUAAAGGCUAAUAGUGGGUGCAGGUGAAUUAUGGGAGUUGUAGUGAGGGCUGAUAGUGGGUGCAGGUGAAUUAUGGGAGUUGGAGUGAGGGCUGUUAGUGGGUGCAGGUGAAUUAUGGGAGUUGGAGUGAGGGCUGAUAGUGGGUGCAGGUGAAUUAUGGGAGUUGGAGUGAGGGCUGAUAGUGGGUGCAGGUGAAUUAUGGGAGUUGGAGUGAGGGCUGAUAUUGGGUGCAGGUGAAUUAUGGGAGUUGGAGUGAGGGCUGUUAGUGGGUGCAGGUGAAUUAUGGGAGUUGUAGUAAAGGCUGAUAGUGGGUGCAGGUGAAUUAUGGGAGUUGUAAUGAGGUCUGAUAGUGGGUGCAGGUGAAUUAUGGGAGUUGGAGUGAGGGCUGAUAGUGGGUGCAGGUGAAUUAUGGGAGUUGGAGUGAGGGCUGAUAUUGGGUGCAGGUGAAUUAUGGGAGUUGUAGUGAGGGCUGAGAGCGGGAGCGGGUAGGUUUUUACAUGUUAAUCAUUGUUUGUGUGUCUUUGUCUU